CAUGCACACAAACAGUCAUGAGCAUGUGCACUCACCCACACAGUGCUUGAGAUCAGAUUUGGGACAUAGAGAACAAGUGUUUUGACAGGACUGCACUUUUGAAGCUUGUUGGCUCAACUCACAGAACUUGUGGUGACACAGCCUGGAAACAGAUGAGAUUCUCUACGCAUGAAGAAAUGCAUCUAUGGAUAGAGACAAGAUGCUAAAUAUGACAUGUAUUAUACACUCCCUGCACCUGGAUGCUUCACAAGGAAUGAUGGAGGACUUCAUUUCGAG